CCUACGGGAUGCACCAGUGGGGAACAUUGGACAAUGGGGGGAACCCUGAUCCAGCCAUGCCGCGUGUGUGAAGAAGGCCUUAUGGUUGUAAAGCACUUUAAGCGAGGAGGAGGCUACUAGUAUUAAUACUACUGGAUAGUGGACGUUACUCGCAGAAUAAGCACCGGCUAACUCUGUGUCAGCAGCCGCGGUAAUACAGAGGGUGCGAGCGUUAAUCGGAUUUACUGGGCGUAAAGCGUGCGUAGGUGGCCAUUUAAGUCAAAUGUGAAAUCCCCGAGCUUAACUUGGGAAUUGCAUUCGAUACUGGAUGGCUAGAGUAUGGGAGAGGAUGGUAGAAUUCCAGGUGUAGCGGUGAAAUGCGUAGAGAUCUGGAGGAAUACCGAUGGCGAAGGCAGCCAUCUGGCCUAAUACUGACGCUGAGGUACGAAAGUAUGGGGAGCAAACAGGAUUAGAUACCCUCGUAGUC
rnacentral:rRNA from 1 species